GAUGAACGCUGGCGGCGUGCUUAACACAUGCAAGUCGAACGAAGCGCCUUGGACAGAUUCUUCGGAUGAAGUUUUUGGUGACUGAGUGGCGGACGGGUGAGUAACGCGUGGGUAACCUGCCUCAUACAGGGGGAUAACAGUUAGAAAUGACUGCUAAUACCGCAUAAGACCACAGUACCGCAUGGUACAGGGGUAAAAACUCCGGUGGUAUGAGAUGGACCCGCGUCUGAUUAGCUGGUUGGUGGGGUAACGGCCUACCAAGGCGACGAUCAGUAGCCGGCCUGAGAGGGCGACCGGCCACAUUGGGACUGAGACACGGGCCCAAACUCCUACGGGAGCAGCAGUGGGGAAUAUUG
rnacentral:rRNA from 1 species